rnacentral:piRNA from 1 species
UGAGUACUUGAUUCUUCUUGUUUGACCU